rnacentral:rRNA from 1 species
UACGUAGGGGGCUAGCGUUGUCCGGAAUCAUUGGGCGUAAAGCGCGUGUAGGCGGUCCGGUAAGUCCGCUGUGAAAGUCGGGGGCUCAACCCUCGGAUGCCGGUGGAUACUGUCGGGCUUGAGUACGGAAGAGGCGAGUGGAAUUCCUGGUGUAGCGGUGAAAUGCGCAGAUAUCAGGAGGAACACCGGUGGCGAAGGCGGGAUCUCGUGGGCCGAUGACUGACGCUGAGGAGCGAAAGCGUGGGGAGCGAACAGGAUUAGAAACCCCGUGGUAG